AUUGAACGCUGGCGGCAGGCCUAACACAUGCAAGUCGAACGAGUGGCGGACGGGUGAGUAAUGUCUGGGAAACUGCCCGAUGGAGGGGGAUAACUACUGGAAACGGUAGCUAAUACCGCAUACCAUCGGAUGUGCCCAGAGGGGAUUAGCUAGCGGGUGGGGUAACGGCGCACCUAGGCGACGAUCCCUAGCUGGUCUGAGAGGAUGACCGGCCAAACGGGAACGGAGACACGGUCCAGACUCCUACGGGAGGCAGCAGUGGGGAAUAUUGCACAAUGGGCGCAAGCCUGAUGCAGCCAUGCCGCGUGAAUGAAGAAGGCCUUCGGGUUGUAAAGUACUUUCAUCGGGGAGGCGUUACUCGCAGAAGAAGCACCGGCUAACUCCGUGCCAGCAGCCGCGGUAAUUC
rnacentral:rRNA from 1 species